GGGAGGCAGCAGUAAGGAAUAUUGGGCAAUGGCCGAGAGGCUGACCCAGCCAUGCCGCGUGCAGGAAGACGGCCUUAUGGGUUGUAAACUGCUUUUAUACAGGAGUAAUAUCCGAUACGGGUUAUUGGAAUGCAAGUACUGUAUGAAUAAGCAUCGGCUAACUCCGUGCCAGCAGCCGCGGUAAUACGGAGGAUGCAAGCGUUAUCCGGAAUCAUUGGGUUUAAAGGGUGCGUAGGCUGGUAUUUAAGUCAGUGGUGAAAUGUCCCUGCUCAACAGGGGAGCUGCCAUUGAUACUGGAUACCUUGAGUAUAAUUGAUGUGGGCGGAAUGUGUCAUGUAGCGGUGAAAUGCAUAGAUAUGACACAGAACACCGAUAGCGAAGGCAGCUCACAAAGCUAUAACUGACGCUGAUGCACGAAAGCGUGGGGAUCAAACAGGAUUAGAUACCCUGGUAGUCCACGCUGUAAACGAUGAUAACUAGCUGUUGGCGAUACACAGUCAGUGGCUAAGCGAAAGCGAUAAGUUAUCCACCUGGGGAGUACGUCCGCAAGGAUGAAACUCAAAGGAA
rnacentral:rRNA from 1 species